UACGGAGGGGGCUAGCGUUGUUCGGAAUUACUGGGCGUAAAGGGCGCGUAGGCGGUAGCACAAGUCAGUUGUGAAAUCUCCGGGCUUAACUCGGAAAGGUCAACUGAUACUGUGCGACUAGAGUGCAGAAGGGGCAACUGGAAUUCUCGGUGUAGCGGUGAAAUGCGUAGAUAUCGAGAGGAACACCUGCGGCGAAGGCGGGUUGCUGGGCUGACACUGACGCUGAGGCGCGAAAGCCAGGGGAGCGAACGGG
rnacentral:rRNA from 1 species